rnacentral:misc_RNA from 1 species
UUAAGUUCAGCGGGUUUUCUUGCUCGAUUUCAGACCAAGUUAUCAAACAGCGAUACACGUAUCGCUGAAGGUAUAAUUGAUGGAGUGUAAGCCAAACACCGGCUGAGGACCGUUCCUCAUCAAGAGUUAACGAAAUGAAUUAACAUCUGUUGCACUUGAGAGAACCGAACCAUAAGGCCGGUAGCAAACACAAUCAUUUU